rnacentral:rRNA from 1 species
UGAAGGACGUUACUAACGACGAUAUGCUUUGGGGAGCUGUAAGUAAGCUUUGAUCCAGAGAUUUCCGAAUGGGGAAACCCAGCAUGAGUUAUGUCAUGUUAUCGAUAUGUGAAUACAUAGCAUAUCAGAAGGCACACCCGGAGAACUGAAACAUCUUAGUACCCGGAGGAAGAGAAAGAAAAUUCGAUUCCCUUAGUAGCGGCGAGCGAAACGGGAAGAGCCCAAACCAACAAGCUUGCUUGUUGGGGUUGUAGGACACUCUGUACGGAGUUACAAAGGACGACAUUAGACGAAUCAUCUGGAAAGAUGAAUCAAAGAAGGUAAUAAUCCUGUAGUCGAAAAUGUUGUCUCUCUUGAGUGGAUCCUGAGUACGACGGAGCACGUGAAAUUCCGUCGGAAUCUGGGAGGACCAUCUCCUAAGGCUAAAUACUCUCUAGUGACCGAUAGUGAACCAGUACCGUGAGGGAAAGGUGAAAAGCACCCCGGAAGGGGAGUGAAAUAGAACCUGAAACCGUGUGCUUACAAGUAGUCAGAGCCCGUUAAUGGGUGAUGGCGUGCCUUUUGUAGAAUGAACCGGCGAGUUACGAUUUGAUGCAAGGUUAAGCAGUAAAUGUGGAGCCGUAGCGAAAGCGAGUCUGAAUAGGGCGUUUAGUAUUUGGUCGUAGACCCGAAACCAGGUGAUCUACCCUUGGUCAGGUUGAAGUUCAGGUAACACUGAAUGGAGGACCGAACCGACUUACGUUGAAAAGUGAGCGGAUGAACUGAGGGUAGCGGAGAAAUUCCAAUCGAACCUGGAGAUAGCUGGUUCUCUCCGAAAUAGCUUUAGGGCUAGCCUCAAGUGAUGAUUAUUGGAGGUAGAGCACUGUUUGGACGAGGGGCCCCUCUCGGGUUACCGAAUUCAGACAAACUCCGAAUGCCAAUUAAUUUAACUUGGGAGUCAGAACAUGGGUGAUAAGGUCCGUGUUCGAAAGGGAAACAGCCCAGACCACCAGCUAAGGUCCCAAAAUAUAUGUUAAGUGGAAAAGGAUGUGGCGUUGCCCAGACAACUAGGAUGUUGGCUUAGAAGCAGCCAUCAUUUAAAGAGUGCGUAAUAGCUCACUAGUCGAGUGACACUGCGCCGAAAAUGUACCGGGGCUAAACAUAUUACCGAAGCUGUGGAUUGUCCUUUGGACAAUGGUAGGAGAGCGUUCUAAGGGCGUUGAAGCAUGAUCGUAAGGACAUGUGGAGCGCUUAGAAGUGAGAAUGCCGGUGUGAGUAGCGAAAGACGGGUGAGAAUCCCGUCCACCGAUUGACUAAGGUUUCCAGAGGAAGGCUCGUCCGCUCUGGGUUAGUCGGGUCCUAAGCUGAGGCCGACAGGCGUAGGCGAUGGAUAACAGGUUGAUAUUCCUGUACCACCUAUAAUCGUUUUAAUCGAUGGGGGGACGCAGUAGGAUAGGCGAAGCGUGCGAUUGGAUUGCACGUCUAAGCAGUAAGGCUGAGUAUUAGGCAAAUCCGGUACUCGUUAAGGCUGAGCUGUGAUGGGGAGAAGACAUUGUGUCUUCGAGUCGUUGAUUUCACACUGCCGAGAAAAGCCUCUAGAUAGAAAAUAGGUGCCCGUACCGCAAACCGACACAGGUAGUCAAGAUGAGAAUUCUAAGGUGAGCGAGCGAACUCUCGUUAAGGAACUCGGCAAAAUGACCCCGUAACUUCGGGAGAAGGGGUGCUCUUUAGGGUUAACGCCCAGAAGAGCCGCAGUGAAUAGGCCCAAGCGACUGUUUAUCAAAAACACAGGUCUCUGCUAAACCGUAAGGUGAUGUAUAGGGGCUGACGCCUGCCCGGUGCUGGAAGGUUAAGAGGAGUGGUUAGCUUCUGCGAAGCUACGAAUCGAAGCCCCAGUAAACGGCGGCCGUAACUAUAACGGUCCUAAGGUAGCGAAAUUCCUUGUCGGGUAAGUUCCGACCCGCACGAAAGGCGUAACGAUUUGGGCACUGUCUCAACGAGAGACUCGGUGAAAUCAUAGUACCUGUGAAGAUGCAGGUUACCCGCGACAGGACGGAAAGACCCCGUGGAGCUUUACUGUAGCCUGAUAUUGAAAUUCGGCACAGCUUGUACAGGAUAGGUAGGAGCCUUUGAAACGUGAGCGCUAGCUUACGUGGAGGCGCUGGUGGGAUACUACCCUAGCUGUGUUGGCUUUCUAACCCGCACCACUUAUCGUGGUGGGAGACAGUGUCAGGCGGGCAGUUUGACUGGGGCGGUCGCCUCCUAAAAGGUAACGGAGGCGCUCAAAGGUUCCCUCAGAAUGGUUGGAAAUCAUUCAUAGAGUGUAAAGGCAUAAGGGAGCUUGACUGCGAGACCUACAAGUCGAGCAGGGUCGAAAGACGGACUUAGUGAUCCGGUGGUUCCGCAUGGAAGGGCCAUCGCUCAACGGAUAAAAGCUACCCCGGGGAUAACAGGCUUAUCUCCCCCAAGAGUUCACAUCGACGGGGAGGUUUGGCACCUCGAUGUCGGCUCAUCGCAUCCUGGGGCUGUAGUCGGUCCCAAGGGUUGGGCUGUUCGCCCAUUAAAGCGGUACGCGAGCUGGGUUCAGAACGUCGUGAGACAGUUCGGUCCCUAUCCGUCGUGGGCGUAGGAAAUUUGAGAGGAGCUGUCCUUAGUACGAGAGGACCGGGAUGGACAUACCUCUGGUGUACCAGUUGUCGUGCCAACGGCAUAGCUGGGUAGCUAUGUGUGGACGGGAUAAGUGCUGAAAGCAUCGCUUAGAUGCUUUCAGC